rnacentral:rRNA from 1 species
GACGAACGCUGGCGGCGUGCUUAACACAUGCAAGUCGAACGAAGUGGCGAACGGGUGAGUAACGCGUAAUCAACCUGCCCUUCAGAGGGGGACAACAGUUGGAAACGACUCCUAAUACCGCAUACUGAAGGAUGGGAUUGCGUCUGAUUUGCUAGUUGGAGGGGUAACGGCCCCACAAGGCGAUGAUCAGUAGCCGGUCGGAGAGGAUGAACGGGCACAAUGGGAUGGGGGCACGGGCCAGACUCCUACGGGAGGCAGCAGUGGGGAAUCUUCCGCAAUGGACGAAAGGCUGACGGAGCAACGCCGCGUGAGUGAUGACGGCCUUCGGGUUGUAAAGCUCUGUUAAUCGGGACGCGGUACCGGAAUAGAAAGCCACGGCUAACUACGUGCCAGCCGCCGCGGUAAUUC